ensembl:lncRNA
GUGCUCAAUCUGACCAAAUUCUCAACUUGUUGACCUUAACAGGCCUGAAGCUUUGGAGAACUUAUUUGGGUGAGGGUUAUGUCUUAUUUCCGUUGCACUGCCAAGCUUUUAUGUUCAUUAAAGUUGCUGAACUGUGCUGUCCCUUGACAGCAGGAAGCAUAGGGUUUUUCCCUGCCAAGCAGGACAGGAUCCAGUGAGGCUGCACUCCCUGCUGUGGAUGCAUUUCACAACUGUAAAAAACAUCCAGAUUGUUUCCAGAAGCUAUUUGUGCUGAAAGAUUGUCUAGCCAUGGAUAUAUGUUGAGGAAAAAGUCUUAUCACACUGAGGUACUUUCAUCAACAGUAGCUCACAGAAUGGGACUGCACUGUUGCCAGAUCCAUAAUGCUGAAGGUCUCCUUUCAGAUGACUUUCAGUUGCAAAUUCCGAAGGAGUAUCUGGGGCAAGAGCACGGAACCUUGGCUUGUCCUGGGGAUGAGCAGUUGCACUCAAUUUCAAGAGCUCUGCAUCACAAUUUAGUUCCUACUGCUCAGUUGAGAGAUCUCUGUUGAACGCAGAGAGUAUAAAAAUAGAUGAAAAAGUUUCAGAAGUCAAAUGACUCUGAUGUUGUCUUUGGAAAUGUGUUUGCAUGUGCUGUGAGGAAAAGAUAUUGUACUUUAUCAUUGCCUCAUUAUAUGUUAGCUGGAAAUGAAAGAAAUACUGUCUUUGCUAGACUGGCAGAGGCGUUGAAUUUUUUAUCACUAUUCAAAGGGAAAAUGGUUCUAACUAACUGAUUGUGUAGUUAUAAACACAAAGAAAAAAG